AUUGAACGCUGGCGGCAGGCUUAACACAUGCAAGUCGAGCGGAGAUGAGGUGCUUGCACCUUAUCUUAGCGGCGGACGGGUGAGUAAUGCUUAGGAAUCUGCCUAUUAGUGGGGGACAACAUUCCGAAAGGAAUGCUAAUACCGCAUACGUCCUACGGGAGAAAGCAGGGGAUCUUCGGACCUGGCGCGAAUAGAUGAGCCUAGGUCGGAUUAGCGAGUUGGUGGGGUAAAGGCCUACCAAGGCGACGAUCUGAAGCGGGUCUGAGAGGAUGAUCCGCCACAAUGGGACUGAGACACGGCCCAGACUCCUACGGGAGGCAGCAGUGGGGAAUAUUGGACAAUGGGGGGAACCCUGAUCCAGCCAUGCCGCGUGUGUGAAGAAGGCCUUAUGGUUGUAAAGCACUUUAAGCGAGGAGGAGGCUACUGAGACUAAUACUCUUGGAUAGUGGACGUUACUCGCAGAAUAAGCACCGGCUAACUCUGUGCCAGCAGCCGCCGUAA
rnacentral:rRNA from 1 species